GACGAACGCUGGCGGCGUGCCUAAUACAUGCAAGUCGAGCGCAGGAAGCCGUCUGAACCCUUCGGGGGGACGACGGCGGAAUGAGCGGCGGACGGGUGAGUAACACGUAAAGAACCUGCCCAUAGGUCUGGGAUAACCACGAGAAAUCGGGGCUAAUACCGGAUGUGUCAUCGGACCGCAUGGUCCGCUGAUGAAAGGCGCUCCGGCGUCGCCCAUGGAUGGCUUUGCGGUGCAUUAGCUAGUUGGUGGGGUAACGGCCCACCAAGGCGACGGUGCAUAGCCGGCCGGAGGGGGUGAUCGGCCACACUGGGACUGAGACACGGCCCAGACUCCUACGGGAGGCAGCAGUAGGGAAUCUUCCCCAAUGGACGAAAGUCUGAUGGAGCAACGCCGCGUGAACGAUGAAGGCUUUCGGGUCGUAAAGUUCUGUUGUAAGGGAAGAACAAGUGCCGCAGGCAAUGGCGGCACCUUGACGGUACCUUGCGAGAAAGCCACGGCUAACUACGUGCCAGCCGCCGCCGUAA
rnacentral:rRNA from 1 species